AAGUCGUAACAAGGUCUCCGUAGGUGAACCUGCGGAGGGAUCAUUAACACGUUUUAAAACACGUUUUAACUAUAAACCAACCAACCACGUGAACUAUUUAACACUCCUGGAAGAGAAAGAAUUCUGUCUCCUCUCACUAAUGAUAAGUUUACAAGCAAUUGUAAACAGUGAGUUUAGACUAGCAUUGCAGUUAAGAGCUGACUUGUAAAGACCUUUCACUUUUGGGCUAAAUGCUCCUAUUAUCAUUCGAGCGAAAACAACCCCUUUCACCAUUUCUAUAACUAUUGACUGAUCGUUUUUCUUUGCAACAUAAGAAAAAACCUAAUCAAAUAUCUAAGCACAACUCUUAGCAACGGAUAUCUUGGUUCUC
rnacentral:misc_RNA from 1 species